CAAUAGCGUAUAUUAAAGUUGUUGCAGUUAAAAAGCUCGUAGUUGGAUUUCUGGUAGGAGCGACCGUGCCGAACUUGAUUGUUCGAGUAUUGUGUUGUCUUCAGCCAUCCUCGUGGAGAACUUUUCUAACAUUAACUUGUUGGGAUUGGGACCCGCGUCGUUUACUGUGAAAAAAUUAGAGUGUUUAAAGCUGGCAUUAGCUUGAAUACAUUAGCAUGGAAUAAUAAGAUAGGACUUUGGUACUAUUUUGUUGGUUUGCAUACCAAAUUAAUGAUCAACAGGAACAGUUUGAGGAUAUUCGUAUGAACAUGUCAGAGGUGAAAUUCUUGGAUUUUGAUCAGACGAACUACUGCGAAAGCAUUUAUCAAGGAUGUUUUCAUUAA
rnacentral:rRNA from 1 species